rnacentral:tRNA from 1 species
GCGGGUGUAGCUCAAUGGCAGAGCANGAAGCUUCCCAAGCUUACGACGAGGGUUCGAUUCCCUUCACCCGCUCCA